GGGACAGACAGUGUGGUGGUCCUU
rnacentral:siRNA from 1 species